rnacentral:rRNA from 1 species
AACGAACGCUGGCGGCGUGCCUAACACAUGCAAGUCGGGGGAGAAAGGGAGCUUCGGCUCCCGAGUAAACCGGCGCACGGGUGAGUAAUACGUAGGUAACGUGCCCACGAGCCCGGGAUAACCAGUCGAAAGAUUGGCUAAUACCGGAUACGACCGAGAGGGCUUCGGCUCUCACGGUGAAAGAUGGCCUCUGCUUGCAAGCUAUCACUCAUGGAGCGGCCUGCGCACCAUUAGCUAGUUGGUGAGGUAACGGCUCACCAAGGCCGAGAUGGUUAGCUGGUCUGAGAGGAUGGCCAGCCACACUGGGACUGAGACACGGCCCAGACUCCUACGGGAGGCAGCAGUGGGGAAUAUUGCGCAAUGGGCGAAAG